AAAUGAUGGUUUAAUUCCUUCCCUUACUA
rnacentral:tRNA from 1 species